UCCAUUGUAUGAAUAUACCACAUUUUGUUUAUUCAUUUAUCAUUUGAUGGACAUUUGGGUUGUUUUCAUUUUUGGCCUAUUAUAAAUAAUGCAGCUAUGAAUAUUAUUAGGGGCUGAACACCUGUUUUUAAUUUACUUGGGUAUCUAUGUAGGAGUGAAAUUUCUGGGUAAUUCUAUGUUUAACUUUUUGAGGAACCACUGAACUGUUUUCCAUAGUGAUUGCACCAUUUUAUAUUCCUGCCAGCAAUGUAUGAUUGAUCAUAAUUUUUAUUUGGGGCUGCAAAAUGUCUAGUUCUUUAGGAUGAAUCAUGAUUGGUAAAAGCCAACUGAGGGCCAUUAUAUUUCCCAAAAAAGGCCAAAACUAUAUUUCCAGUCUGACAUGCUUUUCCUUAAACUUAUCACUUUACCAUUGAGAUAAAGUAUGUUUCAUUUUCCCCUUGAAACUUGUCAGGCUUUUGUGACUCAUUUAAUAAAUAGAAGAUGGAGCAAAUAAUGUUCUGUGAUUUCUUUGUUUAUUUAUUUAUUUUGAGAGAGAGAGAUAGCACACACAUGUGCAUCCGAAUGGGGGAGGGACAGAGAGAAAGGGAGAGAAAGAAUCCCAAGCAGGCUCUGCACUGAUAGUGCAGAGGCCAGUGUGGGGGCUCGGUCCCACAACUGUGAGAUCAUGACCUGAGCCAAAACCAAGAGUCAGUUGCUCAACCGACUGAGCCACCCAGGU